GACGAACGCUGGCGGCGUGCUUAACACAUGCAAGUCGAACGAUGAACCGAGAGCUUGCUCUUGGGGAUUAGUGGCGAACGGGUGAGUAACACGUGAGUAACCUGCCCUGGACUCUGGGAUAACCCCGAGAAAUCGGAGCUAAUACCGGAUAGGACCCUGUACCGCAUGGUGUGGGGUGGAAAGUUUUUUCGGUCUGGGAUGGACUCGCGGCCUAUCAGCUUGUUGGUGAGGUAAUGGCUCACCAAGGCGUCGACGGGUAGCCGGCCUGAGAGGGUGACCGGCCACACUGGGACUGAGACACGGCCCAGACUCCUACGGGAGGCAGCAGUGGGGAAUAUUGCACAAUGGGCGCAAGCCUGAUGCAGCAACGCCGCGUGCGGGAUGACGGCCUUCGGGUUGUAAACCGCUUUUAGUAAGGAAGAAGCGAAAGUGACGGUACCUGCAGAAGAAGCACCGGCUAACUACGUGCCAGCCGCCGCAGUAACAC
rnacentral:rRNA from 1 species